rnacentral:rRNA from 1 species
GAUGAACGCUAGCGGCAGGCUUAAUACAUGCAAGUCGAGGGAGAAUGGGGCUUCGGCCCCAGGGAACCGGCGCACGGGUGCGUAACGCGUACACAACAUGCCUUAUACUGGAGUAUAGCCUCGGGAAACUGGGAGUAAUCCUCCAUAACAUUAUCGGGUGGCAUCACCUGGUAAUUAAAGCUCAGGCGGUAUAAGAUUGGUGUGCGUAUGAUUAGCUAGUUGGUAGGGUAACGGCCUACCAAGGCGACGAUCAUUAGCUGGCGUGAGAGCGCGACCAGACAAACUGGAACUGAGACACGGUCCAGACUCCUACGGGAGGCAGCAGUAGGGAAUAUUGGACAAUGGGCGAAAGCCUGAUCCAGCCAUGCCGCGCGAUGGAUGAAGGCCCUCUGGGUUGUAAACAUCUUUUAUCAGGGAAGAAACACCCCGUUUCUACGGGAUUUGACGGUACCUGAUGAAUAAGCACCGGCUAACUCCGUGCCAGCAGCCGCCGUAA